AAAUUAACCAAAUCGAAGCAAAAGAUUGAAAAAAAAAACAAAAAAAGAUGGCAAAUGGACAUCGAGAUAGUGAAGACACAUAGAUGAAUCAGAAAGCAUCAUCCUGAUAGAAAAAGGUAACUUUAGCUUCCUCAUUUUAAAUUCCAUUUUCUCAUCUUCAAUUUCAUUGCUAUUCCAAAUCCAAUGGCCACACACAAACACAAUCACCAAAACGGCGAUGUCAUUAUUCCCCACGUUUCGAAGAAACCAAAGCUCUGUAAUUCCUCGACCAUCACAGACGCCGAGAUUCAAUCGGAAUUCAGCCACCACGACCCCGACGUCGCUCGCCUCAACAACGGCGCAUUCGGUUGCUGCCCAGCCUCAGUCAUCGCCGUGCAACACCAAUGGCAGCUCAAGAACCUCCGUCAACCCGACCACUUCUAUUUCAACGAGCUCAAAAAGGGGGUUCUCCGUUCCAGGACAAUCAUCAAGGAACUCAUCAACGCCGAACACGUCGACGAGAUCUCCAUCGUCGACAACGCCACCACCGCCACCGCCAUCGUCCUCCAGCAAGCCGCCUGGGCCUUCCACGAAGGAAGGUUCCAGAAAGGUGACGUCGUCCUCAUGCUCCACUACGCUUACGGCUCCGUCAAGAAAUCCAUCGAGGCCUACGUCUCACGCGCCGGCGGCAGAGUCGUCGAGGUUCACCUUCCGUUCCCGGUGAGCUCCGACGACGAGAUCGUUAGUGAAUUCCGUCGCGCCCUCGAAAGAGGAAAAGCCGAGGGUAAUAGGGUUAGGUUAGCGGUUAUUGAUCACGUGACUUCCAUGCCGAGCGUGGUGAUUCCGGUUAAGGAGUUAGUUAAGAUUUGCAGGGAAGAAGGGGUUGACCAGGUUUUCGUUGACGCGGCACAUGCUAUUGGGUGCACACGUGUUGAUAUGCAAGGGAUUGGUGCUGAUUUUUACACCAGCAAUUUGCACAAGUGGUUCUUUUGUCCACCUUCUGUUGCUUUUCUCUACGGUAGAAGAUCUUCAAAGUCGUGUGAUUUGCACCACCCUGUCGUGUCUCAUGAGUAUGGGAAUGGGUUGGCUGUGGAGAGUUCUUGGAUUGGGAAUAGGGAUUACAGUGCCCAGUUGGUGGUUCCUGCUGUUGUGGAUUUCGUUAAUAGGUUUGAAGGUGGUAUUGAAGGAAUCAAGAAGAGGAAUCAUGAUGCUGUUGUUGAGAUGGGUGAGAUGUUGGUUGCUGCUUGGGGAACUCAUCUUGGGACUCCUCCUGAGAUGUGUGCUAGCAUGGUCAUGGUGGGUUUGCCUCCUUGCUUGGGGAUCAUGACUGAUUCUGAUGCUCUCAAGCUAAGGACACAUUUGAGGGAUGAUUUUGGGAUUGAAGUUCCCAUAUAUUUUCGACCACCCAGAGAUGGGGAAGUUGGAUCAGUAACUGGAUAUGCCAGGAUUUCUCAUCAAGUGUACAAUAAAGUUGAGGACUAUUACAAGUUCAGGGAUGCAGUUGACCAACUUGUGCGCAAUGGCUUUACUUGUGCUCUUCUUUCCACUUGAAGUGGUGGUAUGCUACCAACUCCUCUGAACGAAUACAUCACUUUUAUAAUAAAUAUUUGCAAAUAUUGAGUUUUUCAUUGGACAUAAAUAUAACACUCUGGUGUGGUGAUUGUGUCGUUAUGUGGUGCCCAGUCCGUUGAAAAUUUCAUUAUGUUUGACACUAGCACAUGCUGAAAUGAGAUCCUCGUUUGACUCAACUAAAAGUCAGGUUCCUGCAAUCUGGCACCAUCAGUUUGGGUUUACUUCAUUGACAUGUUAGAACUUUGCCACUAAAGCUCUAUUGAAACGUGUCAACUGAGUCUUUUAGAUGAAUAACAGCAAUGGUUGUGGUUGCCUGCAAGCUUGGUUAAUUUUCGGUACCAUGGACUCUGUUUUUGUAGAGAAACUGCAUCAAUUGACCGUCUUGGCUUUGCAGACUUGAAUUUCCAUAAAAGUUGACUUCGAUGUUGAGAUCCAUGGAAUUGUCCUUGUAAAAAUAAUAUCUAACAGCUGCACGCAUUCAAUACUCGUUGUGCCAAUUGAUGUUAAACUUAUUGACCAAGUUUUUACAAUAAGCAGUAUCUCUUGUGAAAAGUU